GUGAACAACAAUCUGAUUUGAAGUAUAUGUUGAUUGAAUUUUCAGGUCUCUUUUCAGAUACUCCUUCUCGUACACACUUGAUUGAACAUGAUAUAGAUGUUGGAGAUGCUAAACCUGUCUGUCAGCGUUUUUAUCAUGUGUCAUUGGAUAAACAUAAAAAAUAAGAGUCUGAAGUUAAUUACAUGCUUGAGAACAACAUAGCAAAGCCAUCUUUUUCAGAUUGGUCUUCACCUUGCUUGCUGGUGGGAAAAGCAGAUGGCACACAGCGCUUUGUGGCAAACAAAAGAAUCUGUUCUACUUUCACUUUCAUUUUAGCGUGAUUUUGGGUGGAGUUUGUCAAUUAACGGCGGAAGGGAGUUGUAUUUAAAGGGAGCGUGUCGUACCUGAAAAAGAGGCGUCAUUCGUUUGUUUGCACAUGAGGGUUGCCCGUAUGAGAGAUGGUUUACGGUGGAAAGACGGCUGCGUGUCAAUCCGCUGUUCCAUGGCGAUGAUGUCUGGUGCGUGACUGAAGCAUUGCCCUUCCAGACCAACUGUCAUGAGCAGUCCUGAAGACAAGGCAAAAACCGCUUAUCCACCUAUCUUGGUGUCUGGUGACCCGCGAUACUCAUUGGUGCCUUCAAUACCUGCAAACGGGCGUGACGCGGUCGGUUUCUGGCACGGGCACGGAUUUCGAAGACCAGAGACCGCUAGUGGGAACGUGUGGUCAUUGCUUAUUUUGUUUUUUUAGUUUUUUAUUUUGUUGUCCAUUUCGCUUUUCUGUGUUAUUAUGAUUUUGAACAUAUGGAAGAAUAAAUAUCCUGAUGACCUUUAGUCUGGGAUUAUUAUUAUAAUUUGUUGUGUAACAGGUGGUUAUUUUCCUGCUAUCCUGGGUUAAGUUAAUUUUUGACAGGUUUAAUCCUGUCUGGCGCCCGAAGGUUGUUUUCUUUAAAAUAGUAUUGGAGUUAGGGCGGCUACCACCGUUAUAGAGUGGCGCCCGAACAGGGACCUGAACUGAAACCUGCUUGAACACUUGAAACUUGAGCUUUUGAUUUUGACAAUCCCUGUGAACUAUUGAACACUUUAAAA
ensembl:lncRNA